AAUGUCUGGCAAUUUUCAGAAAGAGCACCGUAAAUCUGCCGAAGUGUUCACAAUUUUGGUUUUAAUAUUUUAAUGCACUCUCUGGUGUGUGAAGUGGCUGGUGACCAAAAACCCGGGAGUAAAAGGCCUGGUAUAUAAAUACGAUACGCAAGAUUGUAUGGUUAAAGGCGUAAUAAACGUUAAUUAUUCCGAGAUAGAUAUCGAAUGGAGUGUAAAAGUUGAUUGAACUGUACGUGAGGUUAAACAUUUCUCAAUUUUGCGUAACUGAUAAAAUAAUAAAUUUUUUGAAAAUUGUGUAUUAUUCAGGCCUUAGUCAUAUCCCAUCGACUAGAUGGCAAUCCUUUUAAAAACGGGCUAUCUGUUAUCGACAGUGAUGACAAAAGCAAUCAAUAA